CCUACGGGUGGCUGCAGUGGGGAAUAUUGCACAAUGGGCGCAAGCCUGAUGCAGCCAUGCCGCGUGUGUGAAGAAGGCCUUCGGGUUGUAAAGCACUUUCAGCGGGGAGGAAGGCGGUGAGGUUAAUAACCUCAUCGAUUGACGUUACCCGCAGAAGAAGCACCGGCUAACUCCGUGCCAGCAGCCGCGGUAAUACGGAGGGUGCAAGCGUUAAUCGGAAUUACUGGGCGUAAAGCGCACGCAGGCGGUCUGUCAAGUCGGAUGUGAAAUCCCCGGGCUCAACCAGGGAACUGCAUUCGAAACUGGCAGGCUAGAGUCUUGUAGAGGGGGGUAGAAUUCCAGGUGUAGCGGUGAAAUGCGUAGAGAUCUGGAGGAAUACCGGUGGCGAAGGCGGCCCCCUGGACAAAGACUGACGCUCAGGUGCGAAAGCGUGGGGAGCAAACAGGAUUAGAUACCCCUGUAGUC
rnacentral:rRNA from 1 species